rnacentral:hammerhead_ribozyme from 1 species
GUCCAACUGACGAGUCCUAAAUAGGACGAAACACGCGUCCUGAAU